GUCGGUUAAUGACAAUUACAGGAAAGUUUCUAAAUUAAGGUUAAACAGAGAUCGAGUCGUUAAGAUAAGAUGAUAUUUCAGUAAAAUCAAGAAUGCUUCCCUUGUUUUACUGUAUUUUUUUGUUCAUAUACAGUUUUACAUUACAGAAGCAUGUGUACGGGUGUUUGAAAUGGAUGUAAUUGUUUUAUCCCACAAAUAAUUAUACUAGUUCUAAACACAUGAACGCGUGUACCUUAUUCUGUAUAUGACUGAAAAUGUGUGUGUGCAUAUAAUUAUUUUUAAAAUAUGGAUGUAACAUUUUUGAAUUAUAUAUGUUUCGUAGCAACAGGUUACACUGAAACUCUUGUUUGAACAUAUAAAUGAAAACAUUUCCCUGCAAAUAAUUUAUCAAUUAAAAAACAAUUUCUAAAGCGAGAAAUAAAAGUGAGAGCGGGUUAUUUCGUGAUUUUUGUGUGUAGAACUGAUAAUUUCUAACGCUAAAAAACGUAGAUAUUUAUCGAUCAAAGAAUCGAGUACUACAGAACGAUCUAUUAUAGGCUGGACAAGACAAAAUAAAAAGUAAAGUAAAUCGCGUGAGGUUCUGUCGAAAAGCAGCUGGAAAAAGAAAGUAUAGUGUUCCCUCAAGCUUCAGAGAUCUAAAACUUGAGUAUGUAAAAUAGUGGAACACUCGAGAAGACCGCCAAGAGACCACCACUCCCCGGUUGCUCGAUACCUGCGAAAAAAUAUUUUAAUGAAGAAUAGCACUGUGGAGACGCUACUCACUAGAGGUUGUUUGAAAUAUAUAGCACGGUUUUCUUCUAUGUAAUUGUGUCCUGUUGUAUACCUGCGCCAUCUUCUGGAGCUUGAAUUAACUAAUUAUCUAUGGUCAACUACUUCGAGAAAAACACUUCAAAUAUAAUGCUCAUUGAAUGAACCAAAAUAAGUUACCUUAUUUUCACGUAAAUAAUGAUUACAAAUUGAUUGCAGUAUAAAUUUAUCAGAAAAUAUGUGUAACAUUCGGGAUAAUCUUGAUACACAAAUAUACAAAAAGAAUAGAAUAUGUGACUGUACAGAAAAUUUUAUGAUUCUGUAUGAAACAAUCACUUAAUAAAUCUUUGAUUGUAUCUUUGAAUGCUCCAUUGUUAUGUUA